UACGAAGGGGGCUAGCGUUGCUCGGAAUCACUGGGCGUAAAGCGCACGUAGGCGGCUUCUUAAGUCGGCGGUGAAAUCCUGGAGCUCAACUCCAGAACUGCCUUCGAUACUGGGAGCUCGAGUCCGGGAGAGGUGAGUGGAACUGCGAGUGUAGAGGUGAAAUUCGUAGAUAUUCGCAAGAACACCAGUGGCGAAGGCGGCUCACUGGCCCGGU
rnacentral:rRNA from 1 species